rnacentral:rRNA from 1 species
AUUGAACGCUGGCGGCAUGCCUUACACAUGCAAGUCGAACGGUAACAGGUCUUCGGAUGCUGAUGAGUGGCGAACGGGUGAGUAAUACAUCGGAACGUGCCCGAGAGUGGGGGAUAACGAAGCGAAAGCUUUGCUAAUACCGCAUACGAUCUCAGGAUGAAAGCAGGGGACCGCAAGGCCUUGCGCUCACGGAGCGGCCGAUGGCAGAUUAGGUAGUUGGUGGGAUAAAAGCUUACCAAGCCGACGAUCUGUAGCUGGUCUGAGAGGACGACCAGCCACACUGGGACUGGGACACGGCCCAGACUCCUACGGGAGGCAGCAGUGGGGAAUUUUGGACAAUGGGCGAAAGCCUGAUCCAGCCAUGCCGCGUGCAGGAUGAAGGCCUUCGGGUUGUAAACUGCUUUUGUACGGAACGAAAAGACUCUGGUUAAUACCUGGAGUCCAUGACGGUACCGUAAGAAUAAGCACCGGCUAACUACGUGCCAGCAGCCGCCGUAACAC